rnacentral:rRNA from 1 species
CCUACGGGAGGCAGCAGUGGGGAAUAUUGGGCAAUGGGCGCAAGCCUGACCCAGCAACGCCGCGUGAAGGAAGAAGGCUUUCGGGUUGUAAACUUCUUUUCGCAGGGACGAAGCAAGUGACGGUACCGGAGGAAUAAGCAACGGCUAACGACGUGCCAGCAUCCGCGGUAAGACGUAGGUGGCAAGCGUUAUCCGGAUUUACUGGGUGUAAAGGGCGUGUAGGCGGGACUGCAAGUCAGAUGUGAAAACCAUGGGCUCAACCUAUGGCCUGCAUUUGAAACUGUAGUUCUUGAGUACUGGAGAGGCAGGCGGUAUUCCUCGUGUAGCGGUGAAAUGCGUAGAUAUUAGGCGGACCACCAGUGGCGACGGCGGUCUGCUGGACAGCACCUGACGCUGAGGCGCGAAAGCGUGGGGAGCAAACAGGAUUAGAUACCCGAGUAGUC